UUUUUUUUGUGACUAGUGAUAGGAAUUUACGUGGCGUAGCAUGGAAAGACGAGAACUGCUGAAAUAUGAGAGGCUUCCGCAACUCAGCCUGAUUUGGAAAGAUCAAAAUCCGAAGGAUGAAGGCAAGUACCAGCUGAUCCAGCAACACACAUCUUGAUUACAAGGCUUCUGCUAAGAGAAAGAACUCAUCAAAGGAUGCAGGCUCAGAUGGUCCUCAAAGCAAGGUGUCAGUACCAAAGGGAUCACGUUUUGGGCGCAUUGGCUCAAAUCCACUUCAGAAAACUAUGGGUUGGGUCUCAAGAUCCCACCGCCGGGCAAAACUGGGUGAUUAAAACAAAUUCUAUUAUGAUCAAAAGCUUAAGAAAUGGGUUGAGGAAGGUGCUAAGCCUCCAACUGAGGAAGCUGCCCUACCACCGCAUCCAACAGCAGUAUCACUCUAGAAUGGUAUACCAUAUUACAACAUAAACAACGCCUUUACAAGCAAUGAAAGUCUUGCCAAUAAUCGGUGGUUCGAAGGGGAAAUCCUUGGCUCCCAUAGAACAUAGUUUAGGGAUCCCACCCAUUCCACCCAGCCAAAACCAAUAUUCAGCUCAUAGUAGAAUGGGAGUUCGAUCAAGCCGGAUGGUGUGGUGGACCCAUUACGAGAUGGAGCACAAACGAGACGUGGCAAGGUUGGUGCUGAGGAACCGGGAGUGGCAGCUAGUGAGGGAGGUGCCGAGGGAGAUGGAGGUAGGGGAGGAAGAGCUGGCGAAGUAGCUCGAAAAGGAGGAGGAAAAAGGUGUCAUCUUUGGCUCCCAUGGAUGGAGAGUGAGGAAGUCAGUUGCGAAGAAGAAGACAGAGGAGUUUCCCAUUUCGUUGUGGCCAUUUAAUUAUUCAGGACAUUUUAAUUAUCUUAUAAAUUUAU